AACUGUACACAGCCAAAAAUCCACAGGCCUGUUUCAGGCCCGUGGGGAAAAUCAGUUGAAUACAGGCCGGAAUACGGGCCUGUAUGCGGAUGUAAUCGCCCACGGCCCGCUUACAUCCUGGAACCACAGGCCUGUUACAGCACGUACAUCCUGUCCUGAAUACGGACCGUAAAUAACGGGCCUGUUUCAGCCUGUACCACCCACGUCCUGCUUACAGCCUGUGCAGCCAGUGUAUGCGCAUGCGCAGAGAGAAAGUUGCUUAGCUACGAAAUCCACCAAGAGACUGAAAAGGUGCUUCAGUUUGAUGUUCUCGUUCAGUUGCAGCUUUAAAGGAUGGAUGGAGUAAUUAUAUUAUUUAUGGAGCUGACUGCCAAGGCCAGCUAGCAAGAAAAGAGAGAGAGAGGAACUGCUAGAUGUCUCUGCAAUUCUUCUUUCACUGUCUCUAGGAGUCUAGCUCUAUAGGCUACAAGAUCUGGUUGCCUCUGACGCAGGUUGUUGACUUCUUCUACAACGUUUAAUAUAAGAAUACACAUCUAAAAAGGACCUCUACAACGACUACUAUAUAAGUGAGUACGAGAUGUACCUGUGUCUAUGUCAUCAUUACUGUACUGAUUGAGCUCGAGAGAUUGAGGUUCCUUGUCACACUACUUGAGAAUAUGUACAUAUAUAAAUUGGAAUGCUCAUGCCAUCAAUGAUUUCAACCCAUCAUGACCAGAAGCAUCGUGGACACACCUAUACUUUAGGAACUAUCAGAAUUUGGCAGUUAAGUUACUGGCUGUGGACAUGGCUGGUCUGUGACAGUACAAACAGUCAAACAAAAAAUGUAUAAUGUGACAGAGGACAUGGCUGGUCUGUGGACAGUACGAACAGUCGAACAACACAUUAUAUUGUGACAGAGGACAUGGCUGGUCUGUGGACAGUACGAACAGUCGAACAACACAUUAUAUUGUGUGACAGAGGACAUGGCUGGUAGUACAAACAGUCAAACAGAAAAUUUAUAAAUUGACACACUCGAGCAGCACAAGCACUAGAAGAAACAUUCCUAUUAGUGUUGUAAACUGUCGAACUGUCUGGCUAUGUUUGUUUCUUAAAAAUUUUAACACUUCGUUGAAUUAUUCAUGCCAAA